rnacentral:rRNA from 1 species
GAUGAACGCUGGCGGCGUGCCUAAUACAUGCAAGUCGAGCGAACAGACGAGGAGCUUGCUCCUCUGACGUUAGCGGCGGACGGGUGAGUAACACGUGGAUAACCUACCUAUAAGACUGGGAUAACUCCGGAAAACCGGAGCUAAUACCGGAUAAUAUAUUAAACCGCAUGGUUCAUUAGUGAAAGACGGUUUUGUUGUCACUUAUAGAUGGAUCCGCGCCGCAUUAGCUAGUUGGUGAGGUAACGGCUUACCAAGGCAACGAUGCGUAGCCGACCUGAGAGGGUGAUCGGCCACACUGGAACUGAGACACGGUCCAGACUCCUACGGGAGGCAGCAGUAGGGAAUCUUCCGCAAUGGGCGAAAGCCUGACGGAGCAACGCCGCGUGAGUGAUGAAGGUCUUCGGAUCGUAAAACUCUGUUAUUAGGGAAGAACAAAUGUGUAAGUAACUAUGCACGUCUUGACGGUACCUAAUCAGAAAGCCACGGCUAACUACGUG